rnacentral:lncRNA from 1 species
CAAUAUGCAAAUAAACCCAAUCAACAUAAAAUAAAUCAAUCUAAAAUAAAAUCAGGCUGGCUGAAUCGGCUGGAACCCGCUGAGCUGGCUGGAUCCUGUGGCGACCGGCUGACCUGGCACUGGUGUCCGCACCAUAUAGUCAGCGCGAGGGCAUUGACUAUCAGGAGACCUUUUCACCUGUAGCCAUGCUGAAAUCCAUCCGAACAUUGCUU